UACGGAGGGUGCAAGUGUUAUCCGGAUUUACUGGGUUUAAAGGGUGCGUAGGUGGGUAGGCAAGUCAGUGGUGAAAUCUUCGGGCUUAACCCGGAAACUGCCAUUGAUACUAUUUAUCUUGAAUACUUUGGAGGUAAGCGGAAUAUGUCAUGUAGCGGUGAAAUGCUUAGAUAUGACAUAGAACACCAAUUGCGAAGGCAGCUUACUACACAGUUAUUGACACUGAGGCACGAAAGCGUGGGGAUCAAACAGG
rnacentral:rRNA from 1 species